UUUGUGUCUAACAGGGUGGUGAUUUGAUCAAGUGGGACAAGGCAAGGAUCGGGUUCUACGUUGGAAUCGAUAUAGCUGAAGGGUCGAUUGAAGAUUGUCGAACGCGUUAUAAUGGUGAUGCAGACCAGCACCAACGUCGUAAGAAGUUCAGCUUUCCUCCCGUUUAUUAUGUGGGGAUUGUUUUGAGGUAGAACUAGACAAGAUUAUCGAAGAUGAUGCCCCUAUUGUUAUCUGCAGUUACCAGGUUUUAAAUGUUUCAUUUAGCUGUUUCUGCUCAAGAUAACAUGGUUGGUCACAGUAGGUUGUUCCAAAUUAGUUAUUACAGACUGAUAGAUAUGUUGAAGUUUGUUUUAUUCGAGUAGCGUUUGGUGGAAUGAGGUGAAUGGUAUAGUUAAAGAUACUAAAGUAUUGUUUAAAUUGUAGUUUGCUAUGCAAUACUAGUGGACUACUGAGGCAC